UUCUAUAAUACACAUGCAUUUAUCCGUGCAUCAUCCAUCCUUUGAAUUCUCCGUUCUCAUUUUAAUAAAAGCAUUUUUCGCAUAAAGAAACGCAUUUUUUUCUUGAAUGUUUUUUCUUGGGAUCAAUUGGUAGCAGGAGUGAGUGAGUGAGUGAAUUUUGGAUAAUAACGAUGCGGUUUUGUAGUUGAAUUGGAAGUGGUAGAGGUUCUUGAGUUUAUGUUAUGGCUCAGCAACAAUCUUCACGUCUCAAUCGGCUACUCACUUUAUUAGACACUGGUUCGACACAAGCUACAAGAUUGACUGCUGCGAAACAGAUUGGGGAUAUUGCGAAAUCGCAUCCUCAAGACUUGCAUUCUCUCCUGAAGAAGGUUUCUCAGAAUCUCCAUAGUAAAAACUGGGAUACAAGAGUUGCAGCUGCUCAUGCGAUUGGGGCUAUUGCUCAGAAUGUCAAGCACACUUCUUUGACUGAAUUAUUUGCUUCUGUCGAAACAAAGAUGUCUGAGAUUGGGGUUUCGGGUCAUGUUGAAGAUUUGGUGGCAUGCCCUAAUUUUCAUUCUCAAAUAAUAUCAAACGGUUUAUUUAGAAGCUUUGAUAUGAACAAAGUGUUGGAGUUCGGUGCUUUGUUGGCAUCUGGAGGUCAGGAAUAUGACAUUGCAAAUGACAAUUCUAAGAAUCCACGGGAGCGAUUGGCUCGCCAGAAACAAAACCUGCGACGUCGUUUGGGUUUAGAUGUUUGUGAGCAGUUUAUGGAUGUCAACGAUGUGAUUAAAGAUGAAGACCUUGUUGUUCACAGGCCAGAGUCUCAAAGAAACGGUUUAGAUCAUAGAUUUUACAAACACCCGUCUGUGCAUAACAUCCAGCAACUUGUUGCAAGUAUGGUUCCAAGUGUAAUUUCCAAAAGACCAAGUGCAAGGGAGCUGAAUCUCCUAAAGCGAAAAGCAAAAAUAAAUUCCAAAGACCAAGUGAAAAGUUGGUCAGAGGAUGGGGAUACAGAGGUUGCUUGUCCUCAGAGUACAACUCCAAAGGGCUCAAAUACAGAAUCCUUUAGCUUUAAAAAGGCAGAUGCUGAUGAAGAAGACAACUUGGAGCAUGAUGGAGAUGGGAGGUGGCCUUUCCAUGGUUUUGUUGAACAACUUAUUGUUGAUAUGUUUGACCCUGUUUGGGAGGUUCGCCAUGGCAGUGUCAUGGCGUUGAGAGAAAUCGUAACUCAUCAUGGUGGUUCUGCUGGAUUGGUUGUGCCUGACUUGAGCUUGGAUGGUGCUCUUGAUGAACUCAGAGAGAGAGAAUAUUCAAAUACCAUUAAAAGAGAGAGAGAAAUUGAUUUGAAUUUGCAAGUUUUAACAGAUGAGUUUGAGCCAAAUCCAAAAAGACAUAAAUCUGAAGAUGUGUCAUCCCAGACAAUGGAUAUGAUGGUCUCUACUAGCAAUCUCGGUAGUAGUGACAUUUGUGUAAAACUUGAGCAUAGUGGAUGGAAUUUGCCUGUUGGGCAGGUUAAUAGCCAAGUUGAUAUCGUUAGUUGUGUUAAGAUGGAGCCCGAAUCUUACCCUAAUGUUGCAUCUUAUUCUGCUGAAAGAGCUGUUGGCAUGGUAGAGUCAAAGGGUUACCCUGAACAUCAGGGUUCUUUUAUGAAGUCAAAUUUGCAGAACAGUUCUCCUGAAAAUUGCGAGCUGAUGAAUUUGGUUAAAUUGGCCAGACAUUCUUCUAUAAAAAAUAAUGAAUUUCUUCAAGAUUGUGCAAUCCGUUUCUUAUGCAUAUUAUCACUAGAUCGUUUUGGAGACUAUGUAUCUGACCAGGUGGUUGCUCCAGUACGUGAAACUUGCGCCCAAGCAUUAGGUGCUGCAUUUAAGUAUAUGCAUCACUCUUUAGUUUAUGAAACAUUGAAUAUUCUGCUUCAAAUGCAGCGUAGGCCAGAAUGGGAAAUUCGUCAUGGAAGCCUUUUGGGCAUCAAGUAUUUGGUUGCUGUUCGACAGGAGAUGCUGCCUGAUUUGCUUGGCUGCAUUCUACCUGCUUGUAAAGCUGGACUGGAGGACCCUGAUGAUGAUGUCAGGGCAGUUGCUGCAGAUGCUCUAAUACCUACUUCUGCUGCAAUUGUUUCCAUGAAGGGUCGGACAUUGCAUUCCAUUGUUAUGCUACUUUGGGAUAUCUUGCUUGAUUUGGAUGAUCUAAGUCCUUCCACUAGCAGUGUGAUGAAUCUGCUGGCAGAAAUAUAUUCCCAGGAAGAGAUGAUUCCCAAGAAAACAUCAAAAGAUAAACAAGAGUUGGAUUUAAAUGAAGUGGUACAUGUUGAUGAUGUUGGAGAAGGAAGAGACUUACAAGAAAAUCCAUACAUGUUAUCGACAUUGGCACCACGAUUAUGGCCAUUCAUGAGGCAUAGUAUCACAUCAGUCCGACAUUCAGCGAUUCGAACUUUGGAGCGAUUGCUUGAAGCUGGUUAUAAGAGGAACAUUUCUGAGCCAUCCAGUGCAUCAUUUUGGCCCUCUUUUAUCUUGGGAGAUACCCUGCGUAUUGUUUUUCAGAAUCUGCUGUUGGAAUCAAAUGAUGAAAUUUUGCGUUGUUCAGAGAGGGUUUGGAGGCUCCUUGUCCAGUGCCCAGCAGAGGACUUGGAAGCUGCUGCAAGUUCAUACAUGGCUUCUUGGAUAGAACUUACAACUACUCCAUAUGGCUCACCAUUAGAUUCUACAAAGAUGUUUUGGCCUGUGGCUCCACCUCGAAAGUCUCAUUUUAAAGCAGCUGCUAAAAUGAGAGCUGUAAGGCUUGAAAAUGAGUCUUGCAGCAGCAUUGGCUUAGAUUUUGAGAAAGAAACUAUUCCUCAGCAAAGAAAUGGGGAUGCUUCUGCUAGCACAGUCAAGAUAAUAGUAGGUGCUGAUGCUGAAAUCUCAGUAACCUAUACUCGAGUGAUUACGGCUUCAGCUUUGGGAAUGUUCGCUUCUAAGUUGCGUGGGGAUUCUAUGCAACACGUAAUAGAUCCAUUGUGGAAUGCUCUCACCUCUUUAUCAGGGGUUCAGCGGCAGGUAGCAUCAAUGGUUCUUAUAUCGUUGUUCAAAGAGAUUAAAAGGAAGGAAUCCUCUGAAAUCCAUGGGGUUAUGCCUGCUUUUCCCAAUCAUGUUGAGAAGUUGCUGUUCGAUUUGUUAUCUUGUUCUGACCCUGCACUUCCAACAAAAGAUUCAGUUCUUCCAUAUUCUGAGCUCUCAAGGACUUAUACAAAGAUGCGCAAUGAGGCCAGCCAGUUAUUACAUGUCACCGAGUCAUCUGGCAUGUUCAAGAAUUCAUUGUCAACUAUUAAAAUAGAUGUGGAAAAAUUGAGUCCUGAUGAGGCAAUCAAUUUUGCAUCAAAAUUACCAUUAUCAUGCAAUGAUAGUGCUGGUGAUGAAUCUACUGGACACAACAUUGUUGAUGAUAUUGAUUCAUCAAAACAGCGACUUCUGACAACUUCGGGCUAUUUAAAAUGUGUUCAGAGUAAUUUGCAUGUUACUGUCUCCGCAUUAGUUGCUGCUGCAGUUGUCUGGAUGUCAGAGCUUCCUGCACGGCUGAAUCCGAUCAUUUUGCCCCUGAUGGCCUCAAUCAAAAGAGAGCAGGAGGAGAUAUUGCAACAAAAGGCUGCUGAAGCUCUUGCAGAGCUAAUUUCACGUUGUAUUGCACGUAAGCCUGGCCCAAAUGAUAAGCUGAUUAAGAAUAUUUGUAGUUUGACGUGCAUGGAUCCUUGUGAGACACCCCAGGCUGGAGUCAUUGGGUCCACAGAGGUUGUUGAUGAUCAAGAUCUCCUCUCCUUUGGGAUUAGUACAGGGAAACAAAAGUCAAAGGUUCAUAUGCUAGCUGGUGGUGAAGACCGGUCAAGAGUUGAGGGCUUCAUUAGCAGACGAGGUUCUGAACAUGCAUUGAAACAUUUAUGUGAGAAGUUUGGGGCUUAUUUAUUUGAUAAGCUACCAAAACUAUGGGAUUGCCUUGUCGAAGUUCUCAAGCCUGGAAGUCCUGCAGAUGAACAACAAUUUGAAAAAACUAUCGCAUCCAUUAAGGAUCCUCAAAUCCUUAUAAAUAAUAUCCAGGUGGUGCGAUCUAUUGCUCCAUUACUGGAUGAGGCAUUGAAACCUAAAUUGCUCACACUUCUCCCUUGCAUUUUCAAAUGUGUGCGCCAUUCUCAUGUUGCAGUUAGAUUAGCUGCCUCAAGGUGUAUUACCUCAAUGGCCAAAUCUAUGACAACAAAUGUCAUGGCAGCUGUAAUUGAGGAUGCCAUUCCUAUGCUAGGGGAUGUAACGUCUGUCCAUGCCAGACAAGGUGCUGGCAUGCUUAUUAGUUCACUUGUUCAGGGACUGGGAGUGGAGCUGGUCCCCUAUGCUAGGCUACUGGUUGUUCCUCUUCUACGUUGCAUGAGUGAUUGUGAUCAUUCUGUCAGACAGAGUGUGACACGUAGUUUUGCUGCUCUUGUUCCUCUCCUUCCUUUAGCUCGAGGCCUAGCCCCACCUAGUGGACUAAAUGAAGGGUUGGCAAGAAAUGCAGAGGAUGCACAAUUUUUGGAGCAACUACUUGACAAUUCCCAUAUUGAUGAUUACAAGCUCUGCACUGAAUUAAAAGUGACAUUGAGGAGGUAUCAACAAGAAGGUAUAAAUUGGCUGGCCUUCUUAAAACGAUUCAAGCUUCAUGGAAUUCUAUGUGAUGAUAUGGGGCUUGGUAAGACCCUGCAAGCAUCAGCAAUUGUGGCAUCUGAUGUAGCAGAGUUUCGUGCUUUGAAUAACUGUGAGGAUGUUCAACCAUCUUUAAUUGUUUGCCCAUCGACACUUGUGGGACACUGGGCCUUUGAGAUAGAGAAGUACAUUGAUGCUUCUUUAAUUAGUACUCUACAAUAUAGUGGUUCUGCUCAAGAGCGCAUCUGUCUUCGAGAACAAUUUCUUAAGCACAAUGUCAUCAUAACAUCAUAUGAUGUGGUUCGCAAAGAUAUUGAUUACCUUGGACAGUCCCUGUGGAAUUACUGUAUUUUAGAUGAAGGGCAUAUAAUCAAGAAUGCAAAAUCCAAAAUUACAGCUGCCGUGAAGCAGUUGAAAGCCCAGCAUCGCCUAAUACUUAGUGGAACACCAAUUCAGAACAACAUCAUGGAUUUAUGGUCCCUGUUUGACUUUUUAAUGCCAGGGUUCCUUGGAACUGACAGACAAUUUCAAGCCACUUAUGGGAAACCUUUGCUGGCUGCUAGAGAUCCUAAAUGCUCUGCCAAGGAUGCUGAAGCUGGGGUACUUGCUAUGGAAGCAUUGCACAAGCAGGUCAUGCCUUUUCUCUUACGAAGAACAAAAGAUGAAGUAUUAUCUGACCUGCCAGAGAAAAUUAUUCAAGACAGAUAUUGUGACCUGAGCCCUGUCCAGUUAAAACUUUACGAACAGUUCUCUGGUUCCCUUGUUAGACAGGAGAUUUCAAGCAUGGUAAAGCUGGAUGAUUCAGCACAACCAGAAGGAAAUAGUGCUUCACCAAAAGCUUCCACACACGUUUUUCAGGCACUUCAAUACUUGUUAAAACUUUGUAGUCAUCCAUUGCUUGUUGCUGGUGAAAAAAUGCCCGAGUCACUUGUAUGCCAGUUACAUGAACUCUUACCUCCAAAUUGUGACAUACUUUCGGAACUUCAUAAGCUUCACCACUCUCCAAAACUAGUUGCUCUCCAGGAGAUUCUGGAAGAGUGUGGAAUAGGUGUGGAUGCUUCAAGUUCUGAUAAUGCUGUGAGUGUUGGGCAGCACCGAGUUUUGAUAUUUGCGCAGCACAAAGCCCUUCUUGACAUUAUUGAAAGGGACUUGUUUCAUUCCCAAAUGAAGAAUGUCACAUACUUGCGGCUGGAUGGAUCUGUUGAGCCAGAAAAAAGAUUUGAUAUUGUAAAAGCUUUUAAUUCAGAUCCUACUAUUGAUGCCUUGUUGCUUACGACUCAUGUUGGCGGGCUUGGUUUGAAUCUUACAUCUGCUGACACCCUUGUCUUUAUGGAGCAUGAUUGGAAUCCAAUGCGAGAUCUUCAGGCAAUGGACAGGGCACACAGAUUGGGGCAAAAGAAAGUUGUGAAUGUCCAUCGCCUGAUCAUGCGUGGCACACUGGAAGAGAAAGUUAUGAGUCUCCAAAAGUUCAAAGUGUCGGUUGCCAAUGCUGUUAUUAAUGCAGAGAAUGCCAGUCUGAAAACGAUGAACACAGAUCAAUUGCUCGAUUUGUUUGCGUCAGCUGAAACCAGAGCAAAGGGAGCUACUGCAUCAAAGCGCACAGACGGCAGCUUUGAUGGAGAUCCAAAAUUAAUGGGCACUGGGAAGGGGUUAAAAGCCAUCCUUGGUGGACUGGAGGAGCUCUGGGAUCAAUCACAGUACACUGAAGAGUACAAUCUGUCCCAGUUCUUGUCCAAGCUUAAUGGCUGAACCCUGGCUUCUCAUCCCAUGUACAAAGUGUAUAUUUGUGGUUGAGUUAGGAAAAAGAAAAUUUUGGCGUUUUAACCGAGCAUAUUUCCCCCAUUCUUUCUUUCCCCAUAGUUUUUAGGUUUUUUUUUUUUGGUUCUCCUGAUCGAUGUGGGAGGCUGGGGAAGAAGGUUUUAGUGGUUGGUAUGAUAGCCUGAACGCAGAGAUCUUCAAGGGUAUCGAGAAAAAUCUCAACCCAAAAUGUGCAUCAGAUGGGAAAGAGAUUUGUACAGUUCGAACAAUCUGCAGGUGAACUUACCUCAGAGGGUCUUCUUCUUCAUCAUUGGAACGAUGCUCCGCCCUCCGGAGAAGCUCUGGUACUCUUUUUUUUUUUUUUUCCUUUCAUAGCAACCUUUUCCCCCCUUAAACCGCCGCCUCCUAAAUCCAUUAUUAAGGUUGUUGGAGCGUGGCAUUUCUAUGCAUUUGCCAGCAUCAUAUUUCCAUAGCAUUUCUAUACAUCUGCCAGCAUCAUCUUUUACUGAAUACAAAGUUUAUGUUCCAACGAA